UAAAGUAUCAACAAGAAGACAUGAUGAACGUUUUUGAGCUAAUAAUUUUUUGUGUGUAGAUUUUCCCCAAAAUGGUAGCAUCAUAUAACGUGGCAGGUUGUGUAAUGUUUUUCUGUCACUUUAGGAAAACGGCAUGGCCUUAAGCAGGCAGAGAAGAGUGAAAGUGUUUGGGGAACUAGGAAGUUAGUAUUGAAUAUGCUGUCUAACUUGGACAAAGAUGCACAGGAAAGGGGAGAGUUUAUGCCUUUCAUUCAAAAAUAAGAGUUUCUCAACAGUUUUUGGUUUUAAAUGAUUCCUUUUUUGACACACAAUAAACACCUCACCUUUGAAUAAAAUAAGAAACAGGCCGUUUCUCAAUAUGCGUUCUUAUCCGUACUUGCGGUCUCGCGUUCUCGUGAAAGCCAUCAGUCGGAAACCGAGUACUGUUCCAAUUCAAAGAACGCAUCUGACCGAGAAUGGAAGUAAUACCCGGAAAUGUUCUCGCUCCGCCCUUAUUUAUCGAGACUGCAUCGGACCAGACUUGUGCGGACUUGGAGCGGCCAAAUAACCCAUAAUGCAUUUCACAACAAACUGGACGGCGAAAUGCCGGAUGACAAAUCACAUAACUGUGAGUAACAAAUUUGAAAUAUUAGCAUUGUUGUUUAACGGAAUGUAGUUUUAAGAGUUUUUUAGGCGAGAAUAUAGUUUAAAAUGUUGAUAUGGGGUCAGUAUUUCAAGUUAAAGCUUAUUUGAAAAUUUGCUCUGACGAUUGCGGAGAUCCGCCGACGGGACCGCUAUCUGUGGCUGUUUUCUCUUUCUCUGUGGUGGUUAAACAUGAGAAAUAAGCCAUUUUGGGUAAAUCUAACAGUGUGUGUGUAAAUUUGUAUUUGUUUCUGAGAAAAUCUGCUUGGCUGAGGGCAAAAUUCAUAUUAAAAGCUAUUGAACUUCACUUUAACGUUUAAAAUGAGAGCUGAAAGUGUACUAUUGACAAUUGUUUUGUCUCGAUCGUGCAUGUCUUCCACAUGUUAUACUGGUGAAUGCUGUGCAUUUUAAGUAACAUCAUGCACUAUUUUAAUCAAGGGACGACUGAGGAAACGAGAGCCCUCAUUGAGUGGCGAGCCACUCAAUGAGGGCCUUUUCACGGGGAAGAGGAACUCCUCCAGAUGUGGAUGGGAAGACUUUGUGACUGCAUCUGGAAUACAAAUAACAGCAAAAGAGGCAAAGAAGAAGUGGACUAAUCUAAAGGCCAAAUACAAGGUAAUUGCUUUGAAUUACACCAGAGAUGCCUCCUGAGAUUGCUAUUAAAGAAACUUCUUAAACUUUAGUUUGCCAGCCCAUAUAUGAAACCUAACACAGACAACAGAACAGAUGCAGUGGUCCUGAAAUGAAGUGAACUUCAGCAGUGUGAAUAUGUUUAGACAUUUGGCUUCUCAGUGUAUGAAUUAAUAUACACUAUUAUUAUUGUUGUUGUUAUUAUUAUUAUUAUUAUUAUUAUUAUUAUUAUUAUUAUUAUUAUUAUUAUUAUUAGGAUCAUUAUUAUAUAUGAUUUUCGGGAGCUUAGGGACCCACCCACAGUUAAAGGGGUAGAGGCCGGUAGUGUGACUGCUGCCACCUGGCAGUGGUAUAGCAUGAUGGAUGCUGCACUCCAGGGGCAGCACUCAAUCAGUCCGCCCCUGGUUGUAGCAGCAAACCUGACUGCCACUGCAGGUAGCACAGUCAGCACUCCAGCCUCUACCCCUUCUACUGCUGAUGAAGUCACCAGCCAGCCACAGAGGAAGAGAGGGAGGGACAGCGAUGCUGUCCUCCAGUUCCUUAAAGAGCAGGCAGAGAGGGAGGAGGAGAGGGAGGGAGAGAGAGGCCUUGGGCAGGGAGGAGGAGAGAGAGAGGGCAGCUGCAGAACCAGCAGAAAAAUAUCUUUCAUUGUUUGAAAAAUUAGUAAAUAAAUUUUAAUAAAGAUUGUUUAAAUUCACCCGAGGCAGUUUGUUCUUUAAAGCAACAGUGUAUUGGUUAUCAAACAAAACAGAAACAUUCAAAUUCCUAUAUUUUAGUGAUAUACAAUUGUUUACAGGCAUACAGUCAAAUUUGUCAAAACAAGGAAAACAAUAUAGCAAAAGAUGAACAACAUAUUUACACAUACACUAUAUUGCCAAAAGUAUUGGCUCACCCAUCCAAAUAAUCAGAACCAGGUGUUCCAAUCACUUCCAUGUCCACAGGUGUAUAAAAUCCAGCACCUAGGCUGCAGACUGCUUUUACAAACAUUUGUGAAAGAAUGUGUCACUCUCAGGAGCUCAGUGAAUUCCAGCGUGGAACUGUGAUAGGAUGCCACCUGUGCAACAAAUCCAGUUGUGACAUUUCCUGGCUCCUAAAUAUUCCACAGUCAACUGUCAGCUGUAUUAUAAGAAAGUGGAAGUGUGUAGGAACGACAGCAACUCUGCCACCAAGUGGUAGGACACGUAAACUGAUGGAGCGGGGUCAGUGGAUGCUGAGGAGCAUAGUGCCAAGAGGUGGCCAACUUUCUGCAGAGUCAAUCUCUACAGACCUUCAAACUUCAUGUGGCCUUCAGAUUAGCUCAAGAACAGUGUGCAGAGAGCUUCAUGGAAUGGGUUUCCAUGGCCGAGCAGCUGCAUCCAAGCCAUACAUCACCAAGUGCAAUGCAAAGUGUGGGAUGCAGUGGUGUAAAGCAGCCACCACUGGACUCUAGAGCAGUGGAGACGCCUUCUCUGGAGUGACCAAUCACGCUUCUCCAUCUGGCAAUCUGAUGGACCAGUCUGGGUUUGGUGGUUGCCAGGAGAACCAUAGUUGUGGGACUGCAUUGUGCCAAGUGUAAAGUUUGGUGGAGGGGGGAUUAUGGUGUGGGCUUGUUUUUCAGGAGCUGGGCUUGGACCCUUAGUUCCAGUGAAAGGAACUCUGAACGCUUCAGCAUACCAAGACAUUUUGGACAAUUCCAUGCUCCCAACUUUGUGGGAACAGUUUGGAGCUGGUCCUUCCUCUUCCAACAUGACUGUGCACCAGUGCACAAAGCAAGGUCCAUAAAGACAUGGAUGACAGAGUCUGGUGUGGAUGAACUUGACUGGCCUGCACAGAGUCCUGACCUCAACCCCAUAGAACACCUUUGGGAUGAAUUAGAGCGGAGACUGAGAGCCAGACCUUCUGGUCCAACAUCAGUGUGUGACCUCACAAAUGAGCUUCUGGAAGAAUGGUCAAAAAUUC